UACGGGGGGGGCAAGCGUUGUUCGAAAUUACUGGGCGUAAAGGGCUCGUAGGUGGCCAACUAAGUCAGACGUGAAAUCCCUCGGCUUAACCGGGGAACUGCGUCUGAUACUGGAUGGCUUGAGAUUGGGAGAGGGAUGCGGAAUUCCAGGUGUAGCGGUGAAAUGCGUAGAUAUCUGGAGGAACACCGGUGGCGAAGGCGGCAUCCUGGACCAACACUGACACUGAGGAGCGAAAGCCAGGGGAGCAAACGGG
rnacentral:rRNA from 1 species